UACAGAGGCCUCAAGCGUUGUUCGGAUUCAUUGGGCGUAAAGGGUGUGUAGGUGGCGCGCUAAGUCGGGUGUGAAAUUUCGGAGCUUAACUCCGAAACUGCAUUCGAUACUGGCGUGCUUGAGGACUGGAGAGGAGACUGGAAUUCAUGGUGUAGCAGUGAAAUGCGUAGAGAUCAUGAGGAAGACCAGUGGCGAAGGCGGGUCUCUGGACAGUUCCUGACACUGAGACACGAAGGCCAGGGGAGCAAACGGG
rnacentral:rRNA from 1 species